AAAACAUGUCUUUUAGAUUAUAAUUUAAAGUYUAAUCUGCUCAAUGAUAAUAUUAAAUAGCUGCGGUAAAUUGACCGUACAAAGGUAGCAUAAUCAAUAGUUUUUUAAUUGAAAGCUGGAAUGAAUGAUUUGAUGAAAUAUAAGCUGUCUCAAUUUUAAUAAUUAGAAUUUUUUUUUUAGUUAAAAAACUAAGUUGUUUUAAAAAGACGAGAAGACCCUAUAGAUUUUUAUAAUAUAUUUUUUAUAAAUAAAUAAAUUAUUUUAUUUUAUUUAAAAUAUUUUAUUUGAUUGGGGUGAUUUUUAAAUUAAUUAAACUUUAAAAUUUUUAAACAAUAAUUUUUGAUUAUUUGAUUUUUUUUAUAAAAAUUAAAAGAUUAAAAUACCUUAGGGAUAACAGCGUAAUUUUUUUAGAAAGAUCAUAUUGAUAAAAAAGUUUGCGACCUCGAUGUUGAAUUAAGGUUAAAAUUAAUUGUAGAAAUUUAAUAAUUUUAGUCUGUUCNACUAUUAAAACCUUACGUGA
rnacentral:rRNA from 1 species